rnacentral:tRNA from 1 species
GCGGGUGUGGUGGAAUGGUAGACGCGCCGGAUUCAAAAUCCGGUUCCGCAAGGAGUGUGGGUUCAAGUCCCUCCACCCGCACCA